GGGGCGGCGGCCACCGGGUUAGGUAGCCGGGCGCCGGGGGCGUGGAGGGCUGCAGAGUGGAGCCCAGGACAGCUGCGAUCCUGCUCGGGUUGCUUUCCUUCCUCCGUCGCCUUCUCCCUUUGCUCUGCGCUGGCCACACGGUGGGACGCCCGCGGCGACAGAAGUCUGGGCGCCCUUGUCUGAAACCUCCUGGCGAGCCUGACAAGCAGCCGCGGAGAGCAAGAUCCAUGUUCACUUAUUCCCUGGUCUAGGAGUGGAAUUUCUGGGACAUACGAUCCUUAUCCCUUAUGUUAUUACAAAUUGAAUAUAUUGAAUAUAGUUCACUGUGCUAUACAGCUCAGCUCAAGAGCCACCCCCUCCGAGUUGCCUUCUGGGAUUUAUUCAAACCAAAGUAGUCCUUCUCUUUCCUGGGACUCAGCGACUGACUCCCUCUCAGACCCACUGUUCCUGGUCACAGUUCUUUGAGUGUGUUGACCUACUUUCUCCCCUUCGGAGGGAAGGCAGAAACCAGUAAGUGUCUCCUGCGAGUACUCUUGCUUUCAGGAACGUUGAUUCUGUCUUCUGGCCCCUCGUCCUUUCCACGCUCCAUUAUCACCGCUAUACCCGCUUCAAGCAUGACCAGAUCCAAACCCUGCGUGUUGCUUACUGUCCCCGUGUUACAGCUGUGUCCACAGAGGCAGUGUAGCCCACACAUCCGGGGCAUGGGGACAGAGUCCUCCCAGCCUUCCCUUCCUGUCUACUGGCCACAGGGUUAAAUGGCAUAAGCUGCAGUGAAGUGGCUUCUGCAUGAGAAUCGUGUGGGAAUCAGCAGAGCGUCUCUGGUUUUGUGACGGGUGGCACACUGGGGACCAAGAAACGUCCCGCUUACGAUCUGUUUCCUAACCUCUGGUGUGGGCCUCCAAGAAGAGUCUUAGGUGGCUCAACUCUUCAGUUGCUUUGACAGGCAGGAUCCUUCUUUGGGCAGCGUGUCCAGGUGACUAUCAAAUACCUAUAUUGAGAUUUUCUGUGGCAGAGUGAUCAUUUUAUGCUGUCUUUACCCUUCUCAUCCUGCAUGCCGUUGCCCACUUCUCUAGCCAUCAGUUAGAAUCAUCUUUGAAAAUAUAUACUCAUUUGUUGGGAGUUCCCUUCGUAGCUCAGUGAUUGACGAAACCGGCUAGGAUUCAUGAGCAUGCGAGUUCGAUCCCUGGCCUCACUCAGUGGGUUAAGGAUCCAGCAUUGCCAUGAGCUGUGGUGUAGGUUGCAGAAGUGGCUCGGAUCUGGUGUUGUUGUGGCUCUGGCAUAGGCCAGCAGCUGUAGCUCUAGAUAGGGUGUGGCUGCAUCAUAUAAUAAACUCCAGAGUGCCUUUGGGGUUAUUGACUGGCUUUAAUACGCUGCCAUGUCUGUUCUCCAUGACCAUGGGUAAUUGAGUGUAUCUUAUUUAGCUCCCCUAUCCCUGGCUGCUUGGUCUCCUCUCCACCCCCGACUCAUCCCUGUGCACAGAGCAGAUUAUAUAUAACCAGCCUUCCUUCUAGCAUCCUAUCAGAUUUCAUCAACAUCGGGUAACAUGCAAUUUUCAAAAGGUUCCGGCUUCCUUUCUACCAGCUUCAAAAUCAUAUUGGAGUUGUAGUGGCCACAGGAGGCUGCACCGCAGCAGCUGGCUGGGGCAGGCUUCAAGUGAGCCCUCCCUCUGGCUUGCUGAGCAGGCAGCAGGUGGAGAGACAGAGCGUGGCUGCAGACCACAGUCAGGGAUCACCAGGUCCGGGCACUCUUUCAUCCUUGUGGCUGUAAAGUGUCUGUUCCCCGCCCUGAUCAUCUGGGUGGGUUGGAGACAGAAUGAAAAUAAAUAACAACAGGACCUCCGUCUUCCCAGAACCACUGGGAUGGGGCAUAAGGAUGAACAGUGGAGAGAAAGGUGAUGUUUCUGAGGAGGUGAAUGAUGGAGGGGCCAGUGAGCAAAGUUUUUACCUUAACGUGUGCCUCCAAGUUUCCCUGAGACUCAGAAGUGAGAAGAGCCCAACUGGCAGGAUGGCAGGAAGGGACGGUGCUUGGAGGAAGUUCUCGGAGCCUGUGCUGUUGUAGCAGGGCCCUCUGGUGCCACACUGUCCUAUGAAACCUUCUGUGAUGAGGGCAGUGUCCUCUGUCUACGCUCCCUAAUGUUGGCGGUCCUUAACCACAUGUGGCUUGUGAGCACUUAAACUGUGACUGGGGAGUUCCCACUGUGGUGCCGUAACGGGAUCGGUGGUGUCUCCGCAGCACCUGGACUCGUGUUCGGUCCCCAGCCUGGCACAGUGGGUUAAAAGGACCUAGCGUUGCUGCAGCUGUGGUGUAGGUCGCCACUGCGGCUCAGAUCUGAUCCCUGGCCCUGGAACUUCCAUAUGCCACAGGGCGGCCAAAAACAAACAAAAAAAAAAGUGUGGCUGGUGUGGCUGAGGAACUGAAUUUUGAGUUGCAGGUAAUUUUAAUGCAUUUAAGUUUACGUAGCUUAGGGUGGCUAGUGUUUGUCCAGCGACGGCAGAGUGGCCCUAGAGUCACCGUUGACCCGAGUGUGUGAAGGUGGUCUGUAGAGUGCUUUAAAGCACAGACUCUGCAGCCUGCAGCACUGGCAUAAAUCCCGGUUUGCCGUUUACUAACUGCACCCUUGCACCAGUUACCCAGCCUCUCUGCGCCCAUUUUCUCAUCCAUAAGAUGGAGAGCAUAACAGCGUGGACGUCGCAGAGGGCUGCUGGCAAGAUUGAGUGGAGUAAUCUAUGUAAAACCUUAACAAAGUGCCUGGUCUCUGUGAGGCUCUCAGUAGAUGGUUGCUGUCAGGAUGUUUUGUUGUUAAGAUGUUAUGAUGUUUAGUUCUCUCUUAUUUUCCUGUGCUUUGGCCCUAGUCACCGAACAUCAAUAAAUCAACCUGACUUGCUAAGUGCCUGGAGGUGUGAGGAUAAUGACAUUUGCCCUUAUUAACUCCCUUGAGCUCCAUAGCAGAGGAUCUGUUAUUUGAUUUUGUAACUUUAUUGUGUCUGAGCUCUGAAUAAAAUGAGAUUUUUUAAUGAAAGAAAAGAUGAAAUAGUCAAGGUCAGAAUAAUAACAUGAAAAAAAAUCACAUGCCCCACAUUUCCAGUUUCCCAUUCAGUGACCAGGCAUUUACUGAAUCUUUACUGAGAGACUAGUGAUUACAAGCAUAGACUCUGGAGCUAGACCGCCUGGGCUUGCGUCCAUUAUUUACUCGCUGUGUGACUUGGGCAAAGUUAUUUAACCUCUCUGUCUCUAUUUCUUCUUUGUCACUUGGGCGUAAUAAGAGUAUCUGCCUUGUAGCAUUGUUGUAAAGAUUAAAUGAAUCAAGUAAUUCCCUUGUGGCUCAGCAGGUUAAGGACCCGACGUUGUCUCUGUGAGGAUGCAGGUUCAAUCCCUGACCUCGCUCAGUGGGUUAAGGAUCCGGCAUUGCCAUGAGCUGCCACGUAGGCUACAGUUGCAGCUUGGCUCUGGUGUUGUCCUGGCUGUGGCAUAGGCCUGCAGCUGCAGCUCCGAUUCAACCCCUGACCUGGGAACUUCCACAUGCUGCAGGUGGCC
rnacentral:lncRNA from 1 species